rnacentral:rRNA from 1 species
GGGUUGUGAGGUUAAGCGACUAAGCGUACACGGUGGAUGCCCUGGCAGUCAGAGGCGAUGAAGGACGUGCUAAUCUGCGAUAAGCGCCGGUAAGGUGAUAUGAACCGUUAUAACCGGCGAUUUCCGAAUGGGGAAACCCAGUGUGAUUCGUCACACUAUCAUUAACUGAAUCCAUAGGUUAAUGAGGCGAACCGGGGGAACUGAAACAUCUAAGUACCCCGAGGAAAAGAAAUCAACCGAGAUUCCCCCAGUAGCGGCGAGCGAACGGGGAGGAGCCCAGAGCCUGAAUCAGCAUGUGUGUUAGUGGAAGCGUCUGGAAAGGCGCGCGAUACAGGGUGACAGCCCCGUACACAAAAGCGCAUGUGCUGUGAGCUCGAUGAGUAGGGCGGGACACGUGGUAUCCUGUCUGAAUAUGGGGGGACCAUCCUCCAAGGCUAAAUACUCCUGACUGACCGAUAGUGAACCAGUACCGUGAGGGAAAGGCGAAAAGAACCCCGGCGAGGGGAGUGAAAAAGAACCUGAAACCGUGUACGUACAAGCAGUGGGAGCACAGGUUUACCUGUGUGACUGCGUACCUUUUGUAUAAUGGGUCAGCGACUUAUAUUCUGUAGCAAGGUUAACCGAAUAGGGGAGCCGCAGGGAAACCGAGUCUUAACCGGGCGUUAAGUUGCAGGGUAUAGACCCGAAACCCGGUGAUCUAGCCAUGGGCAGGUUGAAGGUUGGGUAACACUAACUGGAGGACCGAACCGACUAAUGUUGAAAAAUUAGCGGAUGACCUGUGGCUGGGGGUGAAAGGCCAAUCAAACCGGGAGAUAGCUGGUUCUCCCCGAAAGCUAUUUAGGUAGCGCCUCGUGAAUUCAUCUCCGGGGGUAGAGCACUGUUUCGGCUAGGGGGCCAUCCCGGCUUACCAACCCGAUGCAAACUGCGAAUACCGGAGAAUGUUAUCACGGGAGACACACGGCGGGUGCUAACGUCCGUCGUGAAGAGGGAAACAACCCAGACCGCCAGCUAAGGUCCCAAAGUCAUGGUUAAGUGGGAAACGAUGUGGGAAGGCCCAGACAGCCAGGAUGUUGGCUUAGAAGCAGCCAUCAUUUAAAGAAAGCGUAAUAGCUCACUGGUCGAGUCGGCCUGCGCGGAAGAUGUAACGGGGCUAAACCAUGCACCGAAGCUGCGGCAGCGACACUGUGUGUUGUUGGGUAGGGGAGCGUUCUGUAAGCCUGUGAAGGUGGCCUGUGAGGGUUGCUGGAGGUAUCAGAAGUGCGAAUGCUGACAUAAGUAACGAUAAAGCGGGUGAAAAGCCCGCUCGCCGGAAGACCAAGGGUUCCUGUCCAACGUUAAUCGGGGCAGG